GUGUUGCUAGCUUAUUGGUAAAGCCACUCGCUGUGAACGAGAAGAACAGGGUUCGAUCCCCGGCAUCACCCCA
rnacentral:tRNA from 1 species